GUGAGUAGUUCUAGAGUUUGAUCCUGGCCAGGAUGAACGCUAGCGACAGGCCUAACACAUGCAAGUCGAGGGGCAGCAUGAAAGUAGCUUGCUACUUUUGAUGGCGACCGGCGCACGGGUGCGUAACAGGUGUGCAAUCUGUCCAUAAUCGGGGAAUAGCCCAGCGAAAGUUGGAUUAAUGCUCCAUGUGAGCCGAGGAGGCAUCUCCUUGGUUUGAAACGCAAGGAUUAUGGGUGAGCACGCUUCUGAUUAGGUAGUUGGUGAGGUAACGGCUCACCAAGCCGACGAUCAGUAGGGGUUCUGAGAGGAAGGUCCCCCACAUUGGAACUGAGACACGGUCCAA
rnacentral:rRNA from 1 species